rnacentral:rRNA from 1 species
AUUGAACGCUGGCGGCAGGCUUAACACAGGCAAGUCGAACGAGCGGCGGCCGGGUGAGUAAUGUAUGGGGAUCUGCCUGAUGGCGCGGGAUAACUACUGGAAAAGGUAGCUAAUCCCGCCUACCAUCAGAUGAACCCAUAUGGGAUUAGCUGGUAGGUGAGGUAACGGCUCACCUAGGCGACGAUCCCUACCUGGUCUGAGAGGAUGAUCAGCCACACUGGGACUGAGACACGGCCCAGACUCCAACGGGAGGCAGCAGUGGGGAAUAUUGCACAAUGGGCGCAAGCCUGAUGCAGCCAUGCCGCGUGUAUGAAGAAGGCCUUCGGGUUGUAAAGUACUUUCAGUCGGGAAGCGUUACCGACAGAAGAAGCACCGGCUAACUCCGUGCCAGCAGCCGCGGUAAUAC